AUGAAAGAUUGUAUUUAUCCAGCAUUUAUGGAUAAGUGCUGGAUACAACUUACAAAUAAGAACUACUCGCAUAACUUCCUGGAGGUUUGUGCACUGAGGGCUUGGACUGUUUAUUUCCCCUAUAUAAUCAAGGCAUCUCAUGAACCUCACCCAACUCUUGAUACUUGUUCUGGAACUCCUAUCUCCCCAGCCAACUGCCCAGUCGAUACCAAAGAUUGGUCAGAUUGUGGAGAAUACAUAUUCGCCUGCCUCAAGGACCGGGAUGUGGUAUCAGUACAGUGCUACUCCAUUCCUCCCAGAGGUCUUCGAAAGAACCUCACCAACACUGCCAAAAUUAUUUUCAUAUCAACAUUGGUGCAAGAUGGCAUGCCUUACUGCGAGAAGGACUACCAAGCCCAGUUUGGUGUCAAGUGCGCCUACUGCAACAGGUUCAUCAGCGGCAAGGUGCUUCAGGCAGGAGACAAUCACCACUUCCAUCCCACUUGUGCAAGGUGCACCAAGUGUGGGGACCCCUUUGGAGAUGGGGAGGAAAUGUACCUUCAGGGUACUGCUAUCUGGCACCCACGCUGUGGCCAGGACCACUGAAAACGGCACAGUAGUACUCAACGGCUCCUUGUCCAACGGCCACCAUGUCAAUGGGGAACAGAAGGCUGAGAGGGAACGCGAUUUUGAUGGCAUGAGCUCCCACAGCUUCAGAACACAGUUCUCGGGUCCGUAUCGCCACAUGCUCACCUGGGCUGAUCCUGCGCGAGUACAAAUCCUCACAAAGCCCCAUCGACAUCACCCGCACUACACGUACUCCUACCUUACUGCCGAGCCUUCCCAGGGGUACCUCAAGCGACCCUGGACCCGUACGACCGUCCUCCACCAAAGUCUCCGCACUGGCACCGUCCCCCAACAGUGGAUAGUAGGAAGCUGUCACUGCCCAAAACAUCUAGUAAACUCGGCAUGCGUGUGAUGGUAGAUAGCAUAAAGUCUGAAACACCUAGACCGAAGUCUCCUCACAUGAACAAUGAAGAGCCCAUAACACUCUCACACUACCGGAGCACGCAAGCCAACUAGUGGAGAUGUGUCACGCAUUGAGAGAGACGACUUCCAGCGCCCCCAUACCCUACACUGAUCCAGAGCGGCGGCGAAGGUGGUCGGGCAGCACCAAGGCGGUUAGCAUUGACGAGACAGAUGAGGGGACGGAAAUCGAAGAUUCCGAAGCCAUGGUGGAGGAUCCAAAGCUGAAGCGUGAGGAGGAAGAACUAAGCAAGAUUGCAACAGGUAUUGGGAAGGUGUUCCUACAGCAGGUGAAAGAGAGAGAAAGGAUUAGGGCAUGGAAAGCAACUCACUUAGAUCCUCGUAACGCAUCACGCUCUCCUGCUGCCAAUCGCGAACCUCAGAACAAACUGCGCUUUGAAUCUUCUCUAAAUGCUUCUCCAUCUCGAAUGACUGACCACAACCGGUCUUGGGGACCAGAGGAGGAGGAGUUUGACCGGGCUUCAUCCUACAGAUGCUCCACUGGAAGGUCAUCAGCCACGAUACCAUCCUACAACGUUGUAUCAGCCCUUCGAGGGGAGCCUAAACCGGGUUAUGGACUCAAGUCGUCCACUCUACCCGCAGCCGGACGCAAUGGUGGCCCUGCUGGAAUGAUCGGGGACUACAGCUUCACCGGCCUUGGAGAGAAGACCCAGAGCACAGAGUUCAGCAGUGCCCGAUCUGACGUUUCAGCAGGUUCGCUCACAGAAGCAGAUAGGAGCGCAUUGAACGCCGAGUUGUGUGCAUCAACAACGUACAGUAGUGGCCUCCGUGGCUACACCUCCUACUCCCCCCACCUCCGCCGAUCACUGCCCAACAUGCACCACAUGUCCUCCGAGCCCCCCAAGAUAUACCCUGCACAUCUUCUUUUCGUCUCCAACUAUCGUCUGCCCAAUGACGUGGAUCGCUGCCACCUGGAGCGCCACCUGUCAGACGCCGAAUUUGAAAUGAUAUUCCACAUGUCACGCAUGGACUUCUACCGCCUUCCGGAAUGGAGGAGAAAUGACCUCAAGAGGCGAUGCAAGCUUUUCUAAAGAGAUCCUAAUGCUUUAUAAUAUUUAUUUCAUAGUCAUUUUACACAGUACUAGAUUCCUUUUGUGAGGGAAACCAUACCAACCACUCGGUUUUGUAUUGGCUCAAUCAUUCACCUCUUUUUUUUUUUUACGUUCAGUGAAUAGUUGUCCAUAAAUGUAUUACUGUAAGAACAAUCAAAGAUGAAGAUUAAAAGCAACAACCGUAAAUGUCAUUCAAAUUGAUCUCUACAAUCUGCAUGCUUUUUAGAUGAAUUGUCAAAUUUUUAGGAAUACUUUAAAAAAAUAUAUAAAAAAAAAAGAAUAAAAAAAUUACAAUGUCUUAUGUAGCAGAAUAAACAAUUGUUUAAAUGUACAUCACAAAAGAUAUCCAAGUCUCCACCUUCACAGUUGGGUUUUGGGUGAUAAUAGUUUUUAGUCCAAAGUCCACCAGAUUAACAGGAAUGAUAAAAGUGUGUGGAAGGUGCUUUGAUAUAUUCCACAGGCAGAGUAUUUAUAAAGAAAAACAAAAAAAAGAAGGCAAUAUGUGUAGUGUUUUAUAUUGUUAGCAAAUACUUCUGUUUAGGUUGAAUUUCUGAAUUGUAAUUUUUGUACUUUUCACUCCUUUAGCAAACAAAAUUUUUUUUGUCCAUGUAGCCGAGAAAUCUUAGUGGAUCUUUUAUCUAAAUAUAUAUAUAUAUAUAUUUUUAAGUGAAGUGAUGGCUAUGCAAAAACUCUUGAGAGCUGCUUUUCUAGCCGGAAAAUUCCUCGACUGGGUGGGCAUUGGUUGUGUACGAUUGACCAGUGGACGAAAAUACCUUGAAUACCAGUUAUCUGUGCUUGUAACUUUUCCCAGUUUCAUAUCUUCUAGUCCUUUAUUAUUAUUAUUAUUAUUUUUUAUGUAAUUCCAGUAGUUGAGGUCUAGAACUCUUUAGUAGGCCUUCCUUUGAUAUAUUUAUGUAUGCUUCCUGAUGCUUAAGUUUUUUUUUUUUUUUUUUUUUUUUUUUUUUUUCUGGUGCUUUUGUUGGGCAGUGAUCUACACGAAUGUGGGGAAGGCAUCAUCGAUUACCAGCUUUCAUAACUACUUCUAUAAGCCUUAUUUUGCGUUAUUUUGUAAAUAUGAAAACAGUCUCGUAGGAGAGUUGCCAAAGCUGACUAUCUGUGGUUCCCACAUUGCAUCUACACAUCUAGAAAUUAUAGCAAGAUCUGGGACAUGUGCUACAUUCUUUUAAUCUCACCUGUAUAUUGACAAUUGUAACUUGUCUGUAAAUAGUGCCUCAAUGAGCUUGAACUUUGGUGCGAUCAGGUUGUGAUUCAUAGGUGGAACAUUCUCCUCUCGACAGUACUGCCAAAGGGGCUUUCCCAGAUCAGUAUAAUGUUUAAAGCUAAACUCACUUCCUUCCGGGGAGUUCCCUCCUGUUUUGAGAUUUUUGUGAGGGGGGAAAGGGGGCAUGUCAAAUUUUAUGUGUCUAUUGAGAAUAGUUUAGCGAAUGCUGUUCUUUUGUUGUGGUGACCUUAGGAAGAAAUUUCCUCACUUGAUUGUUCCAUCACAUGCAAAACUUAUGUGAGAAUUGAUGCUGCUGAUCCCACCAUGCCAGAACAUGGUAUUUACACCAUAUAAUGGAUUAUUCUGCCCGAGGUGGGGGAAAAUAUGGUUGUCUGUUAUCAUUACUCUAUUAUGUUAUUAGAAUUGUGACAUGGCAAGAAAAUAUCAUUGGUUGUCUUGACUGCAGUGCUUUUUUAAAUGACAACGUAUAUAUUUUAUAUUUUAACCAUUGUUACAUGGAUAAGUACCAGUAAUAGAUUUUAGCAUUAAAAAGAAAAUGAGUUCUGAGGUUGUAAAGAUGUUCCAGCCAGUAAGUGUUGUGCUAGUAAACCUGCUUGUAUUGUUAGUCAGGCCUCCCCAUCUACUUCCAAAAGAGGCAGUUUCAGCUUUUGGAGUGGAGCUGCUCUUCAGCGAGGGGUGGUCAGAUGGACAAGAAAAGAGAAACUUUGUACACUUAUAGAAUAGAGAUAUAAAAAAAAGCCUCGAUUUGUGCCUAUUUUUCUCUGAAUGUUAAAAAAAUCAAGUUUCUUUGGUGCUUAUGUCUUAUUUCUUACAGUGAGCCAGGUCUUACUGUUAUAUUAGUGUGUAAUCCAAACUUUCACUUUACCUGCUCAGUAAAACUAAACUUUUAUGUUACAAGCCUUUUUUAGAAAAGAUAAUAGCGAUGUGUAGUUAUUUCUUCAAGGUGAUGUUGAUCAAAAAGAAAUUUUAUCAAAGAAACCACACUGUCAUAUCAGUCAUUUCAAACAGUGAGUGUUGUAGGGGUAUUAAUUUUUUACAUUAUUAAGACCAUAUCAGGUAGAACUUACCCCUUUAUAUGUCCAGAUCUUAUAGGGACAUAGUUUCCUAACUGAGCAUAUUAUCAGAUAUAGAAAAAAAGAGAGUUCCAUUCUAAUGCCUUUGGAUAGCUCAUGUUACACUACUAGGGAUGGGCAGGCCAGGGAGGGGAAUUUUAAUAAUCUAAGCGAAUUAGUCAUGAUAUCCAGGUGUGGGUAUGUCUUGUUAAUUCGUUCCCCAUCUUUGUUUUCAUUAUACAAGUAAACAUGUUCUGAUCCAUGAUUAAUUUGUUCUUUGCUUUUGUCAAGCAGGUCUUCAUGAAAACAGCUUAGUGUACAGAAAUUGUAUAUAUGAAUGUUGUGUGUUUCCUUUCUUAAUGCUCCUUACAUUUCCAUUUUUCAGUUCCCUACACAAAGAAAUACAUUAUUAACUAUUAGAAUUAACUCUAAAUUUUUUAGCAUCAGUAUAAAAUUCCUGCAUUCUAAUGAUACUAACAGAUUUUCUUGGUUGUAUGCUAUUAUAUAGCUUGUAUUUUAAUAAUUAAUUCCUGUUUUUGCCUUUUUUAGCACAUGCUGGAAAAGACUUAGUUCAGCAUGAAUUUUAAACAAGCACUCUUCAAUAUUUGUUAUUUCUCCAGUUUGUUCAUUUUUUAUUACAUAUUUUGUCUCUUUAAGAGUGCAGUAACGCAUGGCUGAAUUGAAAUCUUUGCUAUUGUAUAGACAAGAAGCAUUACUCGCUUAGAUUAUCAGCAUAGAAACCAACCGUGUUUGAUCGACAAGGGGAUGUGACAAUAGCAUCCUUGCAUGUGUCAUUAGCACAACAUUUAAAAACUACCUUUGUUUUUUCUGUGGUUUGUCUGUUUUUUUAACUAAGCCUUGUGGACAUUGUUCAUUCUGAGGUCAUUCUAGAAGAUUAAGAAAUAUCUAGUGAUGUGAUAAACCUAAUGUUACUAAUCUUUUAUGAAUUCUGGUUGUGUUAUGAGAUUUGUUUAAUGUUAGGGCAAUGUGCCAAAAGUUGAAAGUCCUCAGGUAUGAACGACAUCCAUAAUGACAUUUGCAUGUUGGUAGCUUGCUUUCCCUCCUUUAUUGAAUAUUUUAACAUAAGGAUCACUGUUAAUAGUAGUAAAUUAUUAACAUGGGCAAAGCAAGGGUGAUGGUAGAUGGUGUCACAGUCACAGGUUUGGUCAGUGGAAAAUUCCUGGUGACUCCUGGGUCACCUCGGUUGAAACUUAAAAUCAAAGACUGUUUUUUUCUUCUUCUUCUCUCAUUAUUAAAAAAAAAAAAAAAAAACUAAUAGAAAUGUUUCUUGGAAAAAAGUAAAGAGAAUUGUACAGAGAAGAAAAUUUUAGAUACAUAUUUAUAUUAUAAUGGUACCUGAAAAAUGUUGAUUGUGAGUGUUAAAAAAAAGGAAGAAGAAUAAAACUGGCCCCUUCGAGCCACACUUUUGACACCCCUGUUAUAAACAGCUCUUGGAAUUUU